GAUGAACGCUGGCGGCGUGCUUAACACAUGCAAGUCGAACGAAGCAACUUAUCACGAUCCCUUCGGGGUGACGAUUUGUUGACUGAGUGGCGGACGGGUGAGUAACGCGUGGGUAACCUACCUUGUACAGGGGGACAACAGUUGGAAACGACUGCUAAUACCGCAUAAGCGCACAGCAUUGCAUGAUGCAGUGUGAAAAGUAUUUUCGGUACAAGAUGGACCCGCGUCUGAUUAGCUAGUUGGUGAGGUAACGGCUCACCAAGGCGACGAUCAGUAGCCGGACUGAGAGGUUGAACGGCCACAUUGGGACUGAGAUACGGCCCAGACUCC
rnacentral:rRNA from 1 species